GUUUAUGUAUUGUAUAUUCUUCUAGUACUUGAGUUAACUUGUCAAGGUCAUCAUCGCUUGCGAUGGACGAACAACAACAU